rnacentral:rRNA from 1 species
UACGAAGGGGGCUAGCGUUGCUCGGAAUCACUGGGCGUAAAGGGUGCGUAGGCGGGUCUUUUAAGUCAGGGGUGAAAUCCUGGAGCUCAACUCCAGAACUGCCUUUGAUACUGAAGAUCUUGAGUUCGGGAGAGGUGAGUGGAACUGCGAGUGUAGAGGUGAAAUGCGCAGAUAUCAGGAAGAACACCCGUGGCGAAGGCGGUUCUCUGGGACGGUACUGACGCUGAGACGCGAAAGCGUGGGGAGCGAACAGG